GACAGAGGGUGCUAGCGUUGUUCGGAAUUACUGGGCGUAAAGGGCGCGUAGGCGGCUCGUUUAGUCGGGUGUGAAAUCCCGGGGCUCAACCCCGGAACUGCAUUCGAUACUGGCGGGCUAGAGACCGGAAGAGGUGGGUGGAAUACCCAGUGUAGAGGUGAAAUUCGUAGAUAUUCGGAGGAACACCAGUGGCGAAGGCGGCUCACUGGUCCGGUACUGACGCUGAGGUGCGAAAGCGUGGGGAGCAAACAGG
rnacentral:rRNA from 1 species